rnacentral:rRNA from 1 species
CAGUCGCCGCGGGAAUACGUAGGUGGCGAGCGUUGUCCGGAAUUAUUGGGCGUAAAGGGAGCGCAGGCGGACAUAUAAGUCCAUCUUAAAAGUGCGGGCUCAACCCCGUGAGGGGAUGGAAACUGUAUGCCUUGAGUGCAGGAGAGGAAAGCGGAGUUCCCAGUGUAGCGGUGAAAUGCGUAGAUAUUGGGAGGAACACCAGUGGCGAAGGCGGCUUUCUGGACUGCAACUGACGCUGAGGCUCGAAAGCCAGGGGAGCGAACGGGAUUAGAUACCCCUGUAGUCCCUGUCUCUUAUACAA